GACGAACGCUGGCGGCGUGCUUAACACAUGCAAGUCGAACGGAAAGGCCCUGCUUUUGUGGGGUGCUCGAGUGGCGAACGGGUGAGUAACACGUGAGUAACCUGCCCUUGACUUUGGGAUAACUUCAGGAAACUGGGGCUAAUACCGGAUAGGAGCUCCUGCUGCAUGGUGGGGGUUGGAAAGUUUCGGCGGUUGGGGAUGGACUCGCGGCUUAUCAGCUUGUUGGUGGGGUAGUGGCUUACCAAGGCUUUGACGGGUAGCCGGCCUGAGCGGGUGACCGGCCACAUUGGGACUGAGAUACGGCCCAGACGCCUACGGGAGGCAGCAGUGGGGAAUAUUGCACAAUGGGCGGAAGCCUGAUGCAGCAACGCCGCGUGCGGGAUGACGGCCUUCGGGUUGUAAACCGCUUUCGCCUGUGACGAAGCGUGAGUGACGGUAAUGGGUAAAGAAGCACCGGCUAACUACGUG
rnacentral:rRNA from 1 species